UACGAAGGGUGCAAGCGUUAAUCGGAAUUACUGGGCGUAAAGGGUGCGUAGGCGGUUGUUUAAGUCUGUCGUGAAAUCCCCGGGCUCAACCUGGGAAUGGCGAUGGAUACUGGCGAGCUAGAGUGUGUCAGAGGAUGGUGGAAUUCCCGGUGUAGCGGUGAAAUGCGUAGAGAUCGGGAGGAACAUCAAUGGCGAAGGCGGCCAUCUGGGACAACACUGACGCUGAAGCACGAAAGCGUGGGGAGCAAACAGG
rnacentral:rRNA from 1 species